rnacentral:misc_RNA from 1 species
GAAAUGCGAUAAGUAAUGUGAAUUGCAGAAUUCAGUGAAUCAUCGAAUCUUUGAACGCACAUUGCGCCCGCCAGUAUUCUGGCGGGCAUGCCUGUUCGAGCGUCAUUUCAACCAUCAAGCCCCCGGGCUUGUGUUGGGGACCUGCGGCUGCCGCAGGCCCCGAAAACCAGUGGCGGGCUUGCUGUCACACCGGGCGUAGUAGAUUUUUCGUCUCGCCCAGGGCGUGCUGCGGGUUCCGGCCGUUAAAAAGCCUCUCUUUUAACCCAAGGUUGACCUCGGAUCAGGUAGGAAGACCCGCUGAACUUAAGC